GGUUUCUUUAAAUUUUUAGGAAAUCUGGCCYSCCCCUGAAAAAAAUUAAAGGGCCGCAGUAUUUUGACUGUGCAAAGGUAGCAUAAUCAUUAGUCUUUUAAUUGAGGACUGGAAUGAAUGGUUGGACGAGAUAAAAACUGUUUUUUAGAAAAUUUUAUUUGAAUUUUAUUUUUAAGUAAAAAAGCUUAAGUUUUAUUAAGGGACGAGAAGACCCUAUAGAGUUUUAUAAAAAUUUGUAUAAUAUGAGUUUAUAAAAAAUUUUUUAUUAUGUUUGUUUUUAUUUGAUUGGGGUGAUAUAAUUAUAUAAAAAACUUUUUAUUUUUGUAUAUUUUUUGGAGAAAUUUUUGAUCCAUUAUUUAAUGAUUAAAAGAUAAAAUUACCUUAGGGAUAACAGCAUAAUUUUUUUUGAGAGUUCUUAUUGAAAAAGGAGAUUAUGACCUCGAUGUUGGAUUAAGAUAAAUUUUAGGUGCAGAUUUUUAAAAAUUAGGUCUGUUCGACCUUUAAAAUCUUACA
rnacentral:rRNA from 1 species